GUGUCAGCAGCCGCGGUAAUACGGAGGGUGCAAGCGUUAAUCGGAAUUACUGGGCGUAAAGCGAGCGCAGGCGGUUGUGUAUGUCGGAUGUGAAAGCCCCGGGCUCAACCUGGGAAUGGCAUUCGAAACUGCGCAACUAGAAUAUGGUAGAGGAAGACGGAAUUCCACGUGUAGCGGUGAAAUGCGUAGAUAUGUGGAGGAACACCGAUGGCGAAGGCAGUCUUCUGGGCCAAUAUUGACGCUCAGGCUCGAAAGCGUGGGUAGCAAACAGGAUUAGAAACCCCCGUAGUCC
rnacentral:rRNA from 1 species